rnacentral:rRNA from 1 species
CGCGUGAGGAACCUGCCUUUCAGAGGGGGACAACAGUUGGAAACGACUGCUAAUACCGCAUAAUAUAUGUUUGUCGCAUGGCAGAUAUAUCAAAGAUUUAUCGCUGAGAGAUGGCCUCGCGUCUGAUUAGCUAGUUGGUAGGGUAACGGCCUACCAAGGCGACGAUCAGUAGCCGAACUGAGAGGUUGAUCGGCCACAUUGGGACUGAGACACGGCCCAAACUCCUACGGAAGGCAGCAG